rnacentral:rRNA from 1 species
UACGUAGGGGGCAAGCGUUGUCCGGAAUCAUUGGGCGUAAAGCGCGUGUAGGCGGCUCGGAAAGUCUGGUGUGAAAUCCGUGCGGCUCAACCGCAGACUGUCACUGGAUACGUGUCGAAGCUUGAGCCGGAAGAGGAGUGUGGAAUUCCUGGUGUAGCGGUGGAAUGCGCAGAUAUCGAGGAGGAACACCAAUCGGCGAAGGCAGCACUCUGGUAC